UCUCCCAUCCAAGUACUAACCAGGCCUGGCCCUGCUUAGCUCCCUAGAUCAAACGGGAUCCGUCAUGUUCAGAGUGGUAUGGCUGUAG
rnacentral:sRNA from 1 species